AUUUUUUUUAUUGUUGUCAUUACAAUUAGUGAUCAAUACGGUACCUCCGUGCAGUGUUAUUAUUUUCCUGUUGUUGAAACAUAAGAGGAUUACUUUGGACAAUGCCGCGCAUUUAUAAACCUGAACCUGGAGGCUUAUGGCCCGCUCCAAGUUUGAACUCUCAACCAAUGAGAGCGCCAAACGUGGUCGAUGUGUAUAAUUAAGUCUAUCGUAAUGACAUGGUAGAGGUUCUGGAUUUUAAUGCGCUUUAACCAGCGUCAAGUUUUAUGGGAUUGUGAAAUCUCUUUAUACUAAAAGUGUACUAUCAUGUGACAUCAUUCGAAGUCUUGUUGUUGUAUCAUCCUCAUUUUUAUUUGUGACAAAAUAAAAAUACGUUGUUACACUAUGUUUUGAUAAUCUAACUGACAGACUAAACAUAAUUUUUCAGUAAAAUCCACUUAUGUUUAUAAAAAGUUUUUUUUUUGUAUGGGUGAUUUGCCCUAAUUGUUUUUGCAUUGUUCAUAAUAUAAUUAACUAUCCCUGUUCUGUUUUUUUAAAGUUGAUGGUACUUACUUUAUUAAAUAAUUUGUAGGUAUAUGUACUAAGUACCUACAUAAAUAAAUUUUGACAACCCUGGCAUUUUUUUCUAUUGACCCCCUUUUCGUCUCCAUUCACCCAUAUCGCGGGUAAAUAGAAAACAUGCACAUAUUGUGAUUUAUUAAAUAAAUGACGAGGAAAUUAA